rnacentral:lncRNA from 1 species
UAAGAAUGACGGGGUUGGACAGGGGUUAGGCAGUGUUCUGGCUCGUUUGAAAUAUGAGCCUAGGCCUGACCUGGGUUGCACCUAGUUUGGGUAGAGCCAUUUGAGCCCGGGUCAGCCUUGGCCUAGCCGCUUGCACCCCUGCCUCUAACUGCCAAUCAAAACAACAAGAACAAAGUUUAGUAUACAAUCUCUAUGGAUCUCAAGCCUUACCUAAACUAAGAUGCUCUAUUAUGAGGUACCAGGGAGAAAGUUUGAUAUAUGAUAACAUGGAACAAGUGAGUAGAGAAUCAGGACUUGUAUAUGCCUGAAUUUUGAUGAUAAAUGAACCACUAUUAGAUAAAUAUGUAUUAUAUUAUAUUUCUAAGCAACAUGCAUCAAACAUAUUAAGUAAGACUUGUGGCCUCAAUUAUAGACAAUUAUCACCCUACAAUUAUCAUGUAGAUAUUGGAGGUCCUAGGUAACAUGUUUGAAGCAUGUCAUCCAUAAACAUAUCAUAAGACCACUGGUGGAAAUGCAAAUAAGCUAUCAAUAUAGGAAAGCUUAAUUAUUGUUGUAAGAUUCUUUUUGAGUCAUCUUCGAUUUGGUACUUUGGUUGGUUUGAGGGAAGAUUAUCGAUAUAGGAAAGCAAUUUGGUACUUUGGUUGGUUUGAGGGAAGAUUAUUAUUUUUAUAAUUUAAUAUAAAUAAAUUAGAUAUUUAUAUAUAAAAAAAUUAAAAAGUAAAAUUACUUUUAUAUAGAUAUUUCUUUGUUUGGGCUAAAGAGACCGAAGCUUCACCCAAAUCAUCCCGAAGCAUAUCCGAAUUUGACCGAAACGACAGCACAAGGCUUCGCUUUGCUUCGGUCUAGACCUAAAAUCCAAAGGCUUCGACCUCUUAUGCCGAAGCAAAACGAAUUUGACAACAAUGGUCAAAAGACCACCAAGAAGAAGGUGACAAAUCCUUCUCAAUAUCCUCCCAUUUGUAAACCUACGUCUUAACUUGCCAUAUUCCUAAAGGUUAGUCCAGAUAACUCUAUUAUCUUCUAUAUAUUCCAAAAAGUUGGCACUAAGUGAAUUUCUUACAAGGGAAGUGGGACUUAAUGUUGGGUUUACGUGGCCUUUCAAGGCCUUAUGAGUGCUUGUAAAAUGAAAUGAUAUAGUGGAACAUGAAUUCAGUGGGAGAGUGGUCCCUCGUGGACCAUACUAAGCAAACGAUGGUUUGCUGAUACCGAUAUGUGCUUAACGAUCUAUGCCAGUCGAUUGGAAAAAACUCAUGUUACCUGGGCAUAAAGAACAAGCCGAUGAGGGUUUAUGGGUUAGCCCUUGAUGAGGUCGGAAAACAAGCUCGGAUGAGUGAGCCGAUGGACUGUGUGACCCUUGUGUGUGAUGGUGGCCGACAGAGACAGCGGCCAAACAUCAUCCAUGUACCAUCACACGACAUGCAUAUCGAUAGAUCGUUCGGAAAAGCGAGAAAUCCACCUUUUAGGGUGAAGCGUAUGCAUGUGCGAGUGAUACCCCUAUGUGCCAUAGAGCUGUGGUCUCAUAAGGUCUUGGUGACCUUGACUUGUCUCUAGGGGGGGACCUAAAAUAUACAGACUGAGAUUGUGAUUCCUUGGCUCAUCGGUCGGAUUUUGGUAACCCGUUAAUGAGCCCCUACUUUGACUAUGGGUCAUGGAAAAUGCUGGGUCGGUUUGAUAAAACAAGUGUAGUAUGUAGUCCACAGUUGAAGGUGGAGUGCCCCAUGAUUGUUGAUUCUUAAACCAUAUAGAUCAUUUUCUCAUCAAAUUAAUUUAAUUGUGUUUGUUUUAUGAUGAAAAUUAUUUUAAGAUUAUUAUAUAAAUUUUUAUGAACCCCUGGAUGUUUUAUUUAUAAUUUUUUAAUUUAUAAAAUUAAAGAUAUUGAUUUUACAAUUGUUUAAAUAUUUAAAUAAUAUUUUAAAACCAUUUUAUUAAUUUUAAAUAUAUAAAAAUAUCAUGGGGCCCCUUGUGCACAUGGGCCCGCCAUAUUUUUAGAAGGUGGGCCCAUGAGUGCCUCCCUUGGGUAGCACGCCCCACCCUUAUUCUCUUUUUUAUUUUUUGGUGAUAUGACAUGUGGCCAUAUGGUUGAAAGAUAUUGACUUGAUAUAUCUUUGAAAUAGUUUGUGGAAAGAUUGAGUAGACUUGUGCUAUUUUAUGGUAUGCACAAUAUUUUGAUUAGAUUUGAUUUAUUUAAUUUCUAUUGAUGAGAAAAUAGUUUAGGAAAGGGGGAUAAUGGUUCGUGCACCUUCCAUAAUAUUGAUGACCUAUCUAUGGCUCAGAUCUCUCACCCCACAAGUGACCCUUGAUCGACAGUCUAUGUUCAAUCUCACAAGAAGAGGCAAGCAACAAAAAACCCUAAGAAACCAUAAUCUUAUUCAAAGCCUAUAAAAAUGGAUUGUCUCUACAAAAAAUAAAUCUCUACAUCUUAUCUUUUCUAUCUCACUCUCUUAAGAAAGUUUAUCUCUCUCAUGUUUGAUCUCUCUCCCACAUUGUGAAAGAACCUAAGGGUUUAGGUUAUGGAGUUCUUCUCUCCUAUCUCUCAAAUAUGGAUUUAUGGGUAAGAGUUUUAGGAUUUAGCAAAAAGAGAAUCCAUCUCUCUCAAACUAGGUUGCUAAGAGAAUUCACCUAGGGUUUGAGUUUGUGAUCAAAUGGGUUCAUGUUCCAUUGGUGUGGCUAGGUUGAAAUUUGCUUUUCCGGUUCGAGAUUGAAGCUAGACUGUUGAUCCCGUGCCAUCGGAUGGUGGUGACUCGGUGUGCGGUGUAAUAAGCCCAGUUGAGGUAAUCUCUGGCACUCUUCCUUUUGUUUCUUACAAUCUUAUCGUUUAUUCUCGAGCAUAGUGUAUAGUUGUUUCAAUGGCAUCAAGUUGUUAAGAUCUUGGUUUUAUUAUUAUGUUGAUUUUAUUUUGAAAUUUAUCUUAUUAUAAUAAAGACCACAUGUAAGUGAUCUUUUGCUAAAAGAAAGAGGUGAAGAAAAAAAAAAAGAAAAAAAGAAAGAAAAAAUGUAUUCCCCAGUAAAUGAUGACAUAGGUCUUUCUUUCACUUAAUUGAUUCCCAUAUGCAUAACAUUACCAUUGUACCUUUCAGUCAAGGGAAAUUUAUCUAAAUACCCAUAAGACAGAGAUUAUUUAACUUUCUACCCAUUUGUCACUAUUCCAACUCAAGAUCAUGUAUGUUUUUAUGGGUAUUUUGAAAUUAAAUAAAGAAAUAUGAGUAAGAUCUUAAAUUGUUUAUCUCUAUUGAGUAAUUCAAUAAAUUUCCCUGCAAUAAAUAAGAAUCAAAAUGAAAAGCUAGGAUCUGCUCCCUUUCCAUUUUUGAAGAGUAAGAUACCGGUUAGGAAGCUGUAUUCCGCUUGGGAAAAUUUAGGGCAAUAAUUCUUAUGAGUUUCACUGUGCCUAACUCCAAAUUAAGUGUCCAAAUUAACAUUUUAAGUGGACUACUUGAAUAAAACAUUCACAUUACAUGGAUCAAUAGAAGAAACACAUAAGCUUGAAAGUAGAAAUAUUACUCCAUAUAGAAAUUGAUUGGAGCCCCAACAAAAAAAUUUACCUUCAAGACCUAUCUAGCACGCCUGGUGUACUCCCAAUAGAGCACAUUGUACAUUUAUUCCAUCAGGCAAAAGAGGCACCUAAGAGGAUUUUUUCGAUAACUUUAUAAUCAUCAAAUGAAGAAUCUUUUAAAAGAAUUGUAUUAUAAGAUCCAACUUAGAUCAAAUCAUACAAAAAUAAAAAUUGGAUAGUCUUUAUUUAAUUUUAGGGCUAUAGUUUUUCAGGCACAUACAAAUACAUUUGAUUAUUAUUUUUUAAACGUAUAAAUACAUAUGAUUUUUUUUUUCUUUCUUGAGGUUGGUCGCUAAGUUGAGGAGUUGCAUCUUAAAAUUCUAGAUCCUAGUAAUCCCAAAUGGGACUAUAUGCUCCAACCAUAGCAUAAUAUACUCCUCUAGGUUUUCUACGUAAACCAAGAGAGGGUUCCUGAAAGAAGCCUUCUUCAUAAUCAUUUGCCUUUCUCUUCACACCUACACAGCAAUUAAAAAAUUAAAAAGCUGGAAUAAUGGAAAGGUGAUCAAUCCUUCUUCAAAAGUCUAGCUGGAAAGACUUAAUGCUCAAAGUGCACAUGAUCUCACAUAUCUUAUGUAUUUGGUGACACAUCUAACAUGCAAAGGGGAACCCUUUCAAAACCACAUACUUAAUUCGUUGUACUCUUCUUUUUUUUAAUAAUCUAACAUUGCAUAUGGAUGGUCUUUUGCACUAAGAUUCCCAAAGAUUAAUACUUGUUAUGCAUAGUUUGUCAUAUUGUAUAAAGCUAUCAAGGUACUUUUUUUUUUCUUUUUUUUAAUAAUCUGACACUGCAUAUGGAUGGUAUUUAGCACUAAGAUUCCCAAAGACUAAUAGUUGUUAUGCCUAAUUUGUUAUAUUGUAUAAAGCUGUCAAUGUACAUUGUAAAUCCCCGACAUAUAUCAAACACAAUUUAUAAUUGAUAUAAUGAUUGGGGCGUUUCGUGUAUGAAGGGUGAGGAUGUUAAACUUUCCUUUUUAACCCAUACCAAGUCUAGGUAAAGGAGGUGGUCGUGUUAGACGGUCAACCUAAAACUUGGCCAAAAUUUUUUAUGAAUCCUGAUUCUACAAUAUUAAUUAUGGUGAUUGAGGCUUUGAAAAAAGUUUAGAUAGAGUUGAGGCUCUAAACAAUAAAAUUAGAGCCCACUUCAAAAAUUUCAUUAGAAGAGGUUGUUUUUAUAGCCAAAUAUCCUCAAAUUAUUCAUCUAGAUGCAUGGACAUGAGAAAAAAAUAGAUUUCAACGUUUGGCAAUAGUUCAUCUUCAAAGGCUUUUUUGAACCGCCAAUUUUCAAGAUUUUCAAAUUUUCAUAAAUCUGCUCGAUCUACACUAUUUUUGAAGCUUUAAAUUUUAUAAUUAAAGAUGAAAAUUUAUUUUAAAGCUAUACUAAAAAUUUUAAAUAUUUAAAGCAAUUUUAAGGUAGGUUUCAAUUUCAUUGUUUUGAGCCUCAGCUCUAUACAAACUUCACCCUUAUAACCUUAUACUAUCUUUAGAAGAAUAUCUAUGAGGGAGCUAAAGAUCUGCCCUUAAAAAACUAAAAUGUUUUGGAGAGAGAAAAUGAAGGCAUUUUAGAGAGAGACGAAACUAAGAGGAAAUAAUGUCUUGGCAAAAGAAGAUGGAAGAACGGCAACCUACCCGGGAGACUCGGUCCACCACAAAAAUACACGCUUUCAAGCAAACCGCCGCCCCCCUCUAACCUUUUUGACACCUAAGCGCCCUCUAAAGCCACACAAUAAAUAAAGAAAAUGGAAAUAAGAAAUGAAAAUAGAUAAUUAAAUAUAAAUAAAAUAGGUGCAAAAGAAUAGAAACCACAAAUUCGAAAAAAAUCUACCCAUAAUGAGAAAGGAGUUAACUGCCCAAAAGAAAAUUAUAUAUAAACCAAAUGCAAUAUAAAAAACUGACCACCAAUUAAAAAACGAUUCAAUAAUCUCCAUAAAAAAAGAAGAAAUCAUCCACUAAUAAAAAAACCACCCAACAAAAAACUAACGCGUUGUCUCAUAAGAAAAUAAUUUAUUAUAUAGGCUCUUUAUUUAGUAGGAAAAUUGUUUGAUGUGGGCGGGACAGCUUGACUACAUAUGCGGUUCAAAUUGUGUAAAACAUCCAUCUUAAAGAUGAAUGUAAGUAGGUGUUUCAUUUAAAAAUAAUGAAAACUAACGAUUUAAAUAUUUUUUUACUAUAAUUAUUAUUUUUAAUUUUUAUUAUUUAUUCAUAUUCAUGAUUCAAAUGUCCUUAAAAAUUAAAUGCAAAAAUCCAUCUAAAAAAUAAUAAUUAUUGAGAUGGAUUUUUGCAUAAGGCCGCAUAAACCGGGUCCUUUAGUAAAACAAGAGAAAAGGGGAAAAGUCGUCAAUUUGCAGCUAUAAAUUCCCAUGAGAACCCCCUACCUUCUCAGGCCUCCGAGACUCAGCAUUCAUUGCCAUCCCUUGCCUGAGCCGUGCCUCUUCUCUUUCUCUCUCUCUCUCUUCGGAUUCCGACGAAACUCUCGUUGUAUUCAUUCGCCGGAAUCCCGAAAAUGGAGAUGCGAAAGAUAACAUGCGCUGCCCUCAUUGUGGCCGCCGCCACUCUGAGCGUCGCCACCGCCCAUGGGCAUGAGGCCCCGGCACCCGCCCCUGCCAUGCACAACGAUGCCGCCCCCAUCGCCACCUCUCUCAUCGGAGCCUCUCUCCUCUCUCUCCUCGCUUUCCUUAUGAACUAGGAAAAUUCCUCUAGAGAGGAAAAAAUAAAGAGACAAAUGAAACUUUUGGUAGAGUUUGAAGAACCUCUAGAGAGGGAAGAUAAUGAAACAAGGGUUUCUUUUGUUGAGUUUUAAUGCCCUCUAGAAAGGGGACAUAAGGUAGAUGGGCUUUUGGAAGCCUUGGAGAAAAGGGAAUCAUGGUGGAUUAUUACGGUGAGAUGGCCUUUUAUUUAUUUCCUUUGUUUUUGUUGUUUUUUUUUUUUUUUUUUUGGGUGGUGGCAUUCUUGAGUUUGUUGUUUUGUUAUUGUUUUCAUUUUUUGGUGGGUGAAAAUGGAGGGGCAGUACAAGUUUGAUGUGGAAGGUGUGGGUGUGAGGGAUGUGAAUGCAAUAAUGAAACUCUGAUUGUAACCUUAAUAUUAUUUUAAUUAUUUCUCGGAAUGUUUAUGUUGCUUAAACUUUCCUCCGGAUUGCUCUGUUUUUUGUUUGGAAAAUGGAAGAAAUUAAAUCUUCCAAGUAGAAAUGCUCAUUAUUUUGGGAGAAAUAUC